rnacentral:lncRNA from 1 species
UUCAGUCACAAGAUCAUGAAGUCAAGAAUCAAUGAUAUCGGAUAGAUUAGAACAUCCUAUGUAUGCUCGAUAGAGGGGGUGAUUAAUCUCACAAUCAUUUAUGUGGGGACACUAAUACAAAGAUGUGGGUGCUCAUAAGAGGAUGAGUUUACUGAAAUGAUCUAUCAUGAGAACUAUAUCUUAUCAAAGUCUUACUUACAUGUCAAAAAAUGAUUCUCUUAGUGGGAGUAGUGUAU